rnacentral:rRNA from 1 species
GCAAGUCGAGGGGUAACGGGGAGAGCUUGCUUUCCGCCGACGACCGGCGCACGGGUGCGUCACGCGUAUACAAUCUACCUUUUGCUGAGGAAUAGCCCAGAGAAAUUUGGAUUAAUGCCUCAUAGUAUGUCGACCUCGCAUGAGGAUGAUAUUAAAGGUUACGGCAAAAGAUGAGUAUGCGUUCUAUUAGCUAGAUGGUGUGGUAACGGCACACCAUGGCAACGAUAGAUAGGGGCCCUGAGAGGGGGAUC